rnacentral:rRNA from 1 species
AGCGUAGACGGUGUGGCAAGUCUGAAGUGAAAGCCCGGGGCUCAACCCCGGGACUGCUUUGGAAACUGUCAGACUAGAGUGCAGGAGAGGUAAGCGGAAUUCCUAGUGUAGCGGUGAAAUGCGUAGAUAUUAGGAGGAACACCAGUGGCGAAGGCGGCUUACUGGACUGUAACUGACGUUGAGGCUCGAAAGCGUGGGGAGCAAACA